rnacentral:rRNA from 1 species
UCUUUUGCACCCACUCCCAUGGUGUGACGGGCGGUGUGUACAAGGCCCGGGAACGUAUUCACCGUAGCAUUCUGAUCUACGAUUACUAGCGAUUCCGACUUCAUGGAGUCGAGUUGCAGACUCCAAUCCGGACUACGACGCACUUUAUGAGGUCCGCUUGCUCUCGCGAGGUCGCUUCUCUUUGUAUGCGCCAUUGUAGCACGUGUGUAGCCCUACUCGUAAGGGCCAUGAUGACUUGACGUCAUCCCCACCUUCCUCCAGUUUAUCACUGGCAGUCUCCUUUGAGUUCCCGGCCGGACCGCUGGCAACAAAGGAUAAGGGUUGCGCUCGUUGCGGGACUUAACCCAACAUUUCACAACACGAGCUGACGACAGCCAUGCAGCACCUGUCUCAGAGUUCCCGAAGGCACCAAUCCAUCUCUGGAAAGUUCUCUGGAUGUCAAGAAUAAGUAAGGUUCUUCGCGUUGCAUCGAAUUAAACCACAUGCUCCACCGCUUGUGCGGGCCCCCGUCAAUUCAUUUGAGUUUUAACCUUGCGGCCGUACUCCCCAGGCGGUCGACUUAACGCGUUA